UGGGACAAGGAUGGCGAUUCCAUCAAAAAAUAAGGGUGCUGGCAACCUGUGGCACCUUUGCCAAAGCAAGACGUUACCUGACCCGAUCGCUUGAGGAAGGCUGCCUUACAGCAGACCUGCAAUCGGAUGAUGGUGAGAUGGGGCCAAGGAAAAGACGACCAAACAAAAGGUAUUUGGAGGAGGACAGCGAGGAGGAGGCAGGACCAAGCCGUAGGGGGAGGAGGCCACCAUCUAUUGACGCCACUCAGCUGGACAGCGAGUGGCAAUUCCCCUCCCUUAAUGAAGACACCCAGCCAGGCCUGUUUCUUCACAGCCAGCCAUUAACUCAUGGUA